AUAUAUCUAUCAAUCGAUUUAGGAACCUAGGAGUUAAAUAUGCUUUAGAUGAUCAAUAGCUUUAUAAGCUAAACUAGGGAAAUGUUUUGGCUAUAGUAUAAUGUAGCAGAUGAGAAUACUGUUGCAGUGUCAAAAUGUACUACUUUUUAGUUGGCCAUAAGCUAGAUCGAGUUGGGUAGAACAACAGGCAGCAUAAGCUAGGCUUUGAUAAUAUAAGCUUCUAAUGCAACAGUAUUUGGGGAUUUACACUUGGAAUCAUGUGAAAGGAGCUUCAUUGGAAGUGUCUACUUGGCAUUAGAGGCCAAUCUCUCAUGUUUGGUCAUCUUUCACUUAACCAAACAAAACUAUGUUUGAUGGCCAUUGAAGACCACUUUACUUUUAAACUACUAAGAGCCUUAAUAAUUGUUCAGUGUAGGUUGCGUCACAAUAACAUGCAGUUUUCAAUGUCCUGUUCCAAUAAUAUAGAUCUGAUCCUUGUAACUACCUUUAAAAGGCAUGUAAACUAUUUAAGUUUUAGAUGUUUUGUCCUUUAGUACUUGAUAUGAUGCAAGCUUGGAUGUGUUGAGUUUGAGUGAUGUAUCUUGUAGCUUCUGAUCUGUUUAUCAACUGGCCGGAGUGCCUCUUCUAUUCUGUUCCAUUUGGUGCAUUGGAGACCUACAGAAAAUUUAUUGAAUCUCAUCAGCUACAGUUUGAGGUAAAUAAUCUAUGUAUUCUGUUUUUGUGGAAAUUCAAGUAAUAAGCAAGAGUAGCAGCCUGCGCAAUACACACAACAACCAUGUGUAGCUUUUCUUUGAAUAUCUGCUGUUGUCCAGAAUUUAUGUUUUGGGUGUGUAACCAAGUGGAGGGAAGGUAGAAACAUGCAUAAUUCGUGCAAUCUACUGCUUGAAGAGGCUAGUGUCGUACUUGGUGUUGGAUCACCUGUGGGUUGCGAGCUUCAACAGCUUGCUAGUAAAGAGGCAAACUUUGAAACCAGUACUCU